AAGUAGGGUAAUCGCCAUUGAAACUUAAAGGAAUUGACGGAAGGGCACCACCAGGAGUAGAGCCUGUGGUUUAAUUUGACUCAAUACAGGGAAACUUACCAGGUCCAGAUAUAGUAAGGAUUGACAGAUUGAGAGCCUUUUCUUGAUUCUAUGGGUGGUGGUGCAUGGCCAUUUUUAGUUGGUGGAGCAUGUAGAUCACAAAUUUUAAAAAAUUUAUAAAAAUACCCCCAAGAGAUGGACUAUAUAACGUUUUAUUCAUAUAUUUUGAUUUAAUUUUAAUAUAACUAUCCAAAGACAUAUGAUCACUAAAUACUUGCAAAUAAGUAAAAUAUUAGGAAUUAUUGAAAUCGCUUUUGACCCUGCACCCAUCCACACAACAAAAAAAAAAAAAAAAGAAAAGAAAAAAAAUAGCAACUCAGUUUUUUUUUUUUUUGGGUGGGGGAAAGGGGGGCGGGGGGUUAAUUUUCCCUAAAAUAUUUAAUCAUUGGCUUCCAUAUUGUCUCAUGCGGGCUGGACAGCAUGGCGAUCCAAAAAGUGUAAAGCAUCCAUUUUAAAAAUGGAUGCAAGUAGGUGUUCCAUCUAAAAUAAAUGGAAACUAACCAUCUUCA
rnacentral:ncRNA from 1 species